UACGAAGGGGCUAGCGUUGCUCGGAAUCACUGGGCGUAAAGGGUGCGUAGGCGGGUCUUUAAGUCAGGGGUGAAAUCCUGGAGCUCAACUCCAGAACUGCCUUUGAUACUGGGAGACUUGGAGUCCGGGAGAGGUGAGUGGAACUGCGAGUGUAGAGGUGAAAUUCGUAGAUAUUCGCAAGAACACCAGUGGCGAAGGCGGACUCACUGGCCCGGUACUGACGCUGAUGCGCGAAAGCCAGGGGAGCAAAGCGGGG
rnacentral:rRNA from 1 species